rnacentral:rRNA from 1 species
GACGAACCGUGCGAGCGUUAUUCGGAAUCAUUGGGCUUAAAGCGCGUGUAGGCGGAUUCGUGCGUCUGUCGCUGAAAUCCCCCGGCUCAACCGGGGAACGGGCGUGGAUACGACGAGUCUGGAGGGGCAUAGGGGGACCUGGAACUUCCGGUGGAGCGGUGAAAUGCGUUGAGAUCGGAAGGAACGCCCGUGGCGAAAGCGAGGUCCUGGAUGCCUACUGACGCUGAGACGCGAAAGCCAGGGGAGCGAACGGG